rnacentral:tRNA from 1 species
GCCACGGUAGCUCAGUUGGUAGAGCAGCGGUUUCGUAAACCGCAGGUCGUCGGUUCGAGUCCGACCCGUGGCUCCA